GCAAAAAGGAAGAGGGACAACCUGAUCACAUUUUCGGGGUCGUUCUGGUUUACUUGUCCUUCACUGUUUCAUUUUUUAUUUUAUUUUUCUUGUGA
rnacentral:ribozyme from 1 species